ACGGGGGGGGCAAGCGUUGUUCGGAAUUACUGGGCGUAAAGGGCUCGUAGGUGGCCAACUAAGUCGGACGUGAAAUCCCUCGGCUUAACCGGGGAACUGCGUCCGAUACUGGAUGGCUUGAAUCCGGGAGAGGGAUGCAGAAUUCCAGGUGUAGCGGUGAAAUGCGUAGAUAUUGGGAGGAACACCGGUGGCGAAGGCGGCUACCUGGACCGGUUCUGACGCUGAUGCGCGAAAGCGUGGGUAGCAAACAGGA
rnacentral:rRNA from 1 species